UGGGGAAUAUUGCGCAAUGGGGGAAACCCUGACGCAGCAACGCCGCGUGAAUGAGGAAGGCCCUCGGGUUGUAAAGUUCUGUCGAGUGGGAAGAACCGUACUUGGUCUAAUAGGCCUUGUACCUGACGGUACCACUAAAGGAAGCACCGGCUAACUUCGUGCCAGCAGCCGCGGCAAUACGAAGGGUGCAAGCGUUGUUCGGAUUUACUGGGCGUAAAGCGUGCGCAGGCGGAUAGGUAAGUUGGAUGUGAAAUCUCGGGGCUCAACCCCGAAACUGCCUCCAAAACUGCUCAUCUAGAAUCUCGAAGGGGGAAGUGGAAUUUCGCAUGUAGGGGUAAAAUCCGUAGAGAUGCGAAGGAACAUCUGGGGCGAAGGCAACUUCCUGGGAGAGUAUUGACGCUGAGGCACGAAAGCGUGGGGAGCAAACAGG
rnacentral:rRNA from 1 species